AAAGAUUAAGCCAUGCAUGUCUCAGUACGAGCCUUCCUUAGAGUGAAACCGCAAACGGCUCAUUAAAACGGUCUUAAUUUACUUGAUGUAGCGGUUUUUCCUACACGGAUAACCGUGGCAAUUCUAGAGCUAAUACGUGCAACUGAGCUCCGACGCCUCGUCGCGGUGAGAGAUCAUCGUGGCGGGGUGGAAGGGCGCAAUUAUUAGAACCAUAAUCCGAGUUCCGAUAAGGUGAAUGCCUUAUGGGAUUAGCAUUUAAAAACUUGGUUUGUGGUGACUCUGGAUAAUCAUUGCCAAGCGCUGAGGCCCUCGAGCCGGCGCGUAAUCAUUCGAGAGACCUACCUAUCAGCUGUCGACUGCAAGCUAUACGCUUACGGUGGCAGUAACGGGUAACGGGGAAUCAGGGUUCGAUUCCGGAGAGGGAGCCUGAGAAACGGCUACCACAUCUAAGGAAGGCAGCAGGCUCGCAAAUUACCCACUCCUAGCCCAGGGAGGUAGUGACGAUAAAUAACGAUGUGGGACUCUUCCGAGGCCCUGCAAUCGGAAUGAGUUUACCAUAAAUCCUUAUUCAAGGAUCCAUUGGAGGGCAAGUCUGGUGCCAGCAGCCGCGGUAAUUCCAGCUCCAAUAGCGUAUAUUAAAGUUGCUGCGGUUAAAAAGCUCGUAGUUGAACUUAUGGUCCGUACCGGCAGCCCACCAAGGCGGGCCCUCGGUUCGCGACGUAGCGGCUCGCGGUUCAUCCCCCCUAGCCUUCCGUUUACGUACGCGUGGCGGUUAGCGAAGGGAGACCGUAAUUCGCGUUGCCCGUUGCUUAGCGUUUCCCCGACGGUGCUCGCUCGGUGGCUAACUGCCCGGCUACGGAUCUAAAAUCGAUGGCUCUCACGAGGUGCUCUUUGCCGAGUGCCUCGCGUGGCCGUUGACUUUCACUUUGAAAAAAUUAGAGUGCUCAAAGCAGGCUAACAAUGUUACGCCUGAAUACUGAUCCAUAGAAUGAUGGAACAGGACCUCGGUUCCGUAAUGGUUACCGCUCGGUUCUCUUUGAACCCGAGGUAAUGAUUAACGGAGGCGGACGGGGGCAUUAGUAUUGCGGCGCGAGAGGUGAAAUUNNNNNNNNNNNUUAUGGUUGCAAAAGCUGAAAACUUAAAAGGAAUUGACGGAAGGGCACCACCAGGAGUGGAGCCUGCGGCUUAAAUUUGACUCAACACGGGAAACCUCACCAGGCCCGGACACCGUAAGGAUUGACAGAUUAAGAGCUCUUUCUCGAUUCGGUGGAAGGUGGUGCAUGGCCGUUCUUAGUUGGUGGAGCGAUCUGUCUGGUUAAUUCCGAUAACGAACGAGAUUCUGCCCUACUAAGUAGUCGGUGGAUCGUUUCCCGAGGCGGGCUAACCCCGUCCGCGGAAGGUCUUCGGCGAGCAUUUACCGAAACCCGCCAACCCGGUUGGAUCACGGGGGCCGGUGGUGUUCGUUAAGCGUAGAUUCGGGUCUCCGUUAAGCGCGUUAGUCACUAUCGCAAAUUGCGAAACGUGGCUGGCGUUAGUUUAUUCGGUUCGCUCGGUCUGCGUGCGAUUUCCUUCUAGCGGGGGUCCCGGCGAGGGGCGUCCAUCGCAAUUCUUCUUAGAGGGAUCGGCGACUCCUAGUCGCAAGAGAGAGAGCAAUAACAGGUCUGUGAUGCCCUUAGAUGUCCUGGGCCGCACGCGCGCUACAAUGGUGGGCGCAGCGUGCUCUCCUCCUCCGAGAGGAGUGGGUAACCACUGAAACCCCUUCCUGAUUGGGAUUGGGGAUUGUAAGUGUUUCCCAUGAACGAGGAAUUCCCAGUAAGUGCGAGUCAAGAGCUCGCAAUGAUUAAGUCCCUGCCCUUUGUACACACCGCCCGUCGCUACUACCGAUUGAAUGACUCAGUGAGGUCGUUGGACCGGCGCCCUUACGUCUGCCUCUCGAUCAUCCGCGCCUGAUCUUGCGCGGAGUCNAAGGGCGACCGGGGCUUCANCCGGGAAGACGUCCGAACUUGGUUCAUUUNAGAGGAAAGUAAAAGUCGUAACAAGGUUUCCGUAGGUGAANCUGCCGGAANGNAUCAAA
rnacentral:rRNA from 1 species